rnacentral:rRNA from 1 species
GGGUUGUGAGGUUAAGCGACUAAGCGUACACGGUGGAUGCCCUGGCAGUCAGAGGCGAUGAAGGACGUGCUAAUCUGCGAUAAGCGUCGGUAAGGUGAUAUGAACCGUUAUAACCGGCGAUUUCCGAAUGGGGAAACCCAGUGUGAUUCGUCACACUAUCAUUAACUGAAUCCAUAGGUUAAUGAGGCGAACCGGGGGAACUGAAACAUCUAAGUACCCCGAGGAAAAGAAAUCAACCGAGAUUCCCCCAGUAGCGGCGAGCGAACGGGGAGCAGCCCAGAGCCUGAAUCAGUGUGUGUGUUAGUGGAAGCGUCUGGAAAGGCGCGCGAUACAGGGUGACAGCCCCGUACACAAAAAUGCACAUGCUGUGAGCUCGAUGAGUAGGGCGGGACACGUGGUAUCCUGUCUGAAUAUGGGGGGACCAUCCUCCAAGGCUAAAUACUCCUGACUGACCGAUAGUGAACCAGUACCGUGAGGGAAAGGCGAAAAGAACCCCGGCGAGGGGAGUGAAAAAGAACCUGAAACCGUGUACGUACAAGCAGUGGGAGCACGCUUCGGCGUGUGACUGCGUACCUUUUGUAUAAUGGGUCAGCGACUUAUAUUCUGUAGCAAGGUUAACCGAAUAGGGGAGCCGAAGGGAAACCGAGUCUUAA